GGCGAACGCUGGCGGUAGGCCUAACACAUGCAAGUCGAACGGUAGCACAGUAUGAGCUUGCUCUUACGGGUGGCGAGUGGCGGAGGGGUGAGGAAUACAUCGGAAUCUACUUUUUCGUGGGGGAUAACGUAGGGAAACUUACGCUAAUACCGCAUACGCCCUACGGGUGUAAGCAUGGGUUUUUCGGACCUUGCGCGAUUGAAUGAGCCGAUGUCGGAUUAGCUAGUUGGCGGGGUAAAGGCCCCCCAUGGCGACGAUCCGUAGCUGGUCUGAGAGGAUGAUCAGCCACACUGUAGCUGAGACACGGUCCAGACGCCUACGGGGGGCAGCAGUGGGGAAUAUUGGACAAUGGGCGCAAGCCUGAUCCAGCCAUACCGCGUGGGUGAAGAAGGCCUUCGGGUUGUAAAGCCCUUUUGUUGGGAAAGAAGAGCAGCAGGUUAAUACCCCGCUGUUCUGACGGUACCCAAAGAAUAAGCACCGGCUAACUUCGUG
rnacentral:rRNA from 1 species